GUGCUUGCUUCGGCAGCACAUAUACUAAAAUUGGAAUGAUACAGAGAUCAGCAUGGCUCCUGUGCAAGGAUGACAUGCAAAUUUGUGAAGCAUUCCAUAUUUUU